rnacentral:rRNA from 1 species
CCUUUAGAAAUUAAUUUAAGGUCUAAUCUGCCCACUGAUGAAUUGAAUGGCCGCGGUAUUUUGACCGUGCGAAGGUAGCAUAAUCAUUAGUUUUUUAAUUGAAAGCUGGAAUGAAAGAUUGGAUGAGAAAAUAACUGUCUCAAAUUAAUUUUGUUAGAAUUUUAUUUUUAAGCUAAAAAGCUUAAAUAGUUUUAGAAGACGAGAAGACCCUAUAGAGUUUAAUAAUUUUUUAUUUUAAGAUUUAAUUGUUUUGAAAGAUUUAAAAUUUAAAAAAUUAUUUUGUUGGGGUGACAGAAAAAUUUAAUAAACUUUUUCUAAAUAUUAAUACUUAUAAGUAAAUUAUUGAUCCAAAAAUUUUGAUUAUAAGAUUAAAUUACCUUAGGGAUAACAGCGUAAUUUUUUUUGAGAGUUCUAAUCGAAAAAGAAGAUUGCGACCUCGAUGUUGGAUUUAAAAUUAAGUUUUGGUGUAGAAGCUAAAAUUUUAGGUCUGUUCGACCUUUAAAACUUU